rnacentral:rRNA from 1 species
CACGAAGUUAGCCGGGGCUUCUUCUACAGGUACCGUCAUCAUCGUCCCUGUCGAAAGGGCUUUACAAUCCGAAGACCUUCUUCACCCACGCGGAAUUGCUGGAUCAGGCUUCCGCCCAUUGUCCAAUAUUCCCCACUGCUGCCUCCCGUAGGAGUCUGGGCCGUGUCUCAGUCCCAGUGUGGCUGAUCGUCCUCUCAGACCAGCUACCGAUCGACGCCUUGGUAAGCCUUUACCCCACCAACUAGCUAAUCGGACGCAGGCCGCUCUCAAGGCACCCGAAGGCUUUGGGCCUCAGCCCAUAUGCGGUAUUAGCGCCAGUUUCCCAGCGUUAUCCCCCACCCAAGACACGUUCCUACGCGUUACUCACCCGUCCGCCACUCGAGCCGAAGCCCCCGUGCGACUUGCAUGUGUUAAGCAUUCCGCCAGCGUUCGCUCUGAGCCAGGAUCAAAACUCU